rfam:Mycobacterium abscessus subsp. abscessus strain 57 genome assembly, contig: ERS244815SCcontig000010
UGCGUUCAGCACGCGCUUGUCAAUUUUUAGCAGAACAAGGAUAUGAGGUUAUCAAUGUCCAAGGUGGCAUGGAUGCCUUAGAAUAAGAAAAAAACUCCCUUUAAGACCGAAAAUAAGAAAGGUUUUAAAGAGAAUUUAUU